rnacentral:misc_RNA from 1 species
AAUUACAUGACAAUUGUUCUAUUAUAUUUCUCUGAGGCACUCUUUAAUUGCAAAAUAUUGCUUUUAAAACUAGUUUUGCUCUAGAUAUUGGUUUCUACUGUCUUGCAGUGUAUGUGUGUGUGUGUUUUGGUGGGGAGGGUUUUGGGUGAGGCUGUGUGGUGGCCGGCUGAUGCUUGCAAUUGGCCUAGUGUGUUUUGCUCUAGAUAAUGGUUUCUACUGGCUUGUAGUGUGUGUGUGUGUGUGU